GAAGGGGCGGGCUCCGGCCGCAGGGGUGGGUGGAGUCUUCCCUUGGUCGCCCGUCUUGGGAAUCUUUAAGCGCUGUCCUUGCUCUCCAGUCUGGUAUGUGGCGUGGCCGUCCCGGGCAGGAGUGGCCUAAGGAGGGGGGACGGGGCGCUCUGCUCAGAAACCAAAGCCUUGGCACGCUUCGUGUCCUAGGACGCUUCGGGCCGUUGGUGAAGAUCCGCGCCUCCGACCUGGGCUGUGUGUCCCGACCACGGCCCUGGGGACAGUUUCAGGAUGCCCUCUACCUGCCCCGGUCGGGGUGUCCCUGCGGCCACCCGCGUAGUCUUUGUAGAGGCUUCAGCGGCUCGCAACAGAGAUCCCAAGUAGGCCGAGAAGCAGGCAGAGAGAGAGGAGGAAAGCAGGCUCCCUGCUGAGCAGAGAGCCCGAUGCGGGGCUCGAUCCCAGGACCCUGGGAUCACGACCUGAGCCGAAGGCAGAGGCUUCGACCCACGGAGCCUUCCGGGCGCCCCAGGCUGUUGGUAUUUUGAUAGGCAUUGCAUUCAGUCUGUCGACUGUCUGGGUUGUAUGGGCCUUUUAUGGACACCCUUCCAACCCGCAAACAUGGGCUGUCUGUUCCGUCUGUUGGUGUGUCCUCUUUGAUGUCUUUCGUGAGUAUUUUCUAGUGUCCGGAGCACAGAUCUCUCGCUUCUUUGGUGAAGUUCAUUCCUAGGUGUUUUCCCGCUUUGGGUGCCAUCGUCCAUGGGCCUGCCUGUUUUCUUUUUUUUAGAAAGAUUUUAUUUAUGUGUUGGAGAGAGAGUGAGAGAGAACCCAAGAGGGGGCAGGGAGGGGUGGAGGGGGAGAAGGAGAGAAGCAGACUCCCCGCCUAGCGGGGAGCCCCGUGCGGGGCUCGAUCCCAGGACCCUGAGGGCAUGACCGGAGCCGAAGGCAGACGCUUCGCCCGUGGAGCCACCCAGGCGCCCUGGAAUUGUUUGCUUCAUCUCCCUUUCUGCUUCUUCCUGUUCGAAAGGCAGGGGAUGUCUCUGUAUGGAUUUUGCCGCCUACCACCUUCCUGGAUUCGUUGAUGAGUUCCAGUCGGGUCUCCUGGAGUCUGGCAGGUCUCUUGCCUAUGCUACGUCGUGUCAUCUGCACGUAGUGAGAGCCUUACUUCUUUCUUCCCCAUGUAGAUGCCAUUUCCGUGUUCCUUCUUACGUGAUGCUAUGGCUGGACUUGCAGGACGGUUUGGACUGACCGCGGUGAGAGUCGACCUCCUCGUCGCGCUCCUCCUCGUCCGGGGAAAGGUCUCCGCGUGCUCCCCGCCGAGUGUGAGGGAACCGAUCUUGCAUCCAGGACUACAUCUCGCUUCCAGGUGGUGAGUGGUUUCCCUAAGGCGUUGUCCGAGUGUGUUGGCCCGUCGUUUUUGAGGAUGCUUGCCUCUGUGUUCAUCAGAGAUGCUGGCCUGCAUCUCUCUCUCCUCUUCUCUCUCUCCCUUUUUCUUUGAAUUUUGAUCUUUGUUUUGCUUUGAAGACUUGAUUGAUCGGUUGAUGGGUUGAUUUGUCAGAUCCCAUGUAGGCGGGGCGGCGGGCAGAGAGAGAGGAAGGGAAGCAGGCUCCCCGCUGAGCGGAGAGGCCGAUGCGAUGCGGGGGCCGGAUCCCAGGAAGGACCCUGAGGUCAUGCCUGGAGCAGAAGGCAGAGGCUUUCACCCAGUGAGCCCGCCAGGCGCCCCUCCCCUUUGUGAAAAGCAUGUGGUUUUAGGAGGAGCCACUGCAAAGUCAGCCACCCCCAUC